GACGAACGCUGGCGGCGUGCCUAACACAUGCAAGUCGAGCGACGGACCCUUACGGGGCGAGUUAGCGGCGGACGGGUGAGUAACGCGUGAGCAAUCUGCCUCAUACAAAGGAAUAGCCACGGGAAACUGUGAUUAAUGCCAUAUAAAACUUUUUGACCGCAUGGAAAAGAAGUCAAAGAUUUAUCGGUACGAGAUGAGCUCGCGUCUGAUUAGCUGGUUGGUGGGGUAAAGGCCUACCAAGGCGACGAUCAGUAGCCGGCCUGAGAGGGUGAACGGCCACACUGGAACUGAGACACGGUCCAGACUCCUACGGGAGGCAGCAGUGGGGAAUAUUGCACAAUGGGCGGAAGCCUGAUGCAGCGACGCCGCGUGAGCGAAGAAGGUUUUCGGAUCGUAAAGCUCUGUCCUUAAGGAAGAAAAAAUGACGGUACUUAAGGAGGAAGCCCCGGCUAACUACGUGCCAGCAGCCGCGGUAAUACGUAGGGGGCGAGCGUUGUCCGGAAUUACUGGGCGUAAAGGGUGAGUAGGUGGCAAUGUAAGUCAGGUGUUAAAGGCGAGAGCUCAACUCUCGUAAGCACUUGAAACUGGAUAGCUUGAGUGCAGGAGAGGUAAGUGGAAUUCCUAGUGUAGCGGUGAAAUGCGUAGAUAUUAGGAGGAACACCGGUGGCGAAGGCGACUUACUGGACUGUAACUGACACUGAGUCACGAAAGCGGGGGGAGCGAACAGGAUUAGAUACCCUGGUAGUCCACGCUGUAAACGAUGAGUGCUAGGUGUUGGCCGAGAGGUCAGUGCCGAAGUAAACGCAAUAAGCACUCCGCCUGGGGAGUACGGUCGCAAGACUGAAACUCAAAGGAAUUGACGGGGACCCGCACAAGCAGCGGAGCAUGUGGUUUAAUUCGAAGCAACGCGAAGAACCUUACCAAGGCUUGACAUCCCCCUGACAGAUGCAGAGAUGUAUCCUCUUCUUCGGAAGUAGGGGAGACAGGUGGUGCAUGGUUGUCGUCAGCUCGUGUCGUGAGAUGUUGGGUUAAGUCCCGCAACGAGCGCAACCCUUGUCAUUAGUUGCCAGCAGAAGAUGGGCACUCUAAUGAGACUGCCGGUGAUAAACCGGAGGAAGGUGGGGAUGACGUCAAAUCAUCAUGCCCCUUAUGUCUUGGGCUACACACGUGCUACAAUGGUCGGAACAAAGGGAGGCGAAGUGGUGACAUGGAGCGAACCCCAAUAAACCGAUCUCAGUUCGGAUUGUAGGCUGCAACUCGCCUACAUGAAGUCGGAGUUGCUAGUAAUCGCGAAUCAGAACGUCGCGGUGAAUGCGUUCCCGGGUCUUGUACACACCGCCCGUCACACCAUGGAAGUUGGUAAUACCCAAAGUCGAUGAGCUAACCGAUAAGGAAGCAGUCGCCUAAGGUAGGAUCAAUGACUGGGGUG
rnacentral:rRNA from 1 species